UCGAGACAAGUCAUUUGGACCACCUCCAGAAUGACAUCACUGCUCUACACUUGUUUCGUCUUGACUGGCUGCAUGAAUAAACUCCCCAAAAAGCGGACAGAAAGUUGUGUGAAGAAGUCGUUCACAGCCAGCCUCCCUGGUCCUGAGAGACUGUAAUUCACAGGAACUUGAAGGUCUCGACGGUUGACACAAGGCAGCCGGACAGCGUGAGUGGCAGCUGUAGAGAAGAAUGCUUCCUGAAGUCCACAAUCAUCUCUACAGUCUUGAGCGUGUUCAGCUCCAGGUUGUGUCGGCCGCACCACAGUUCCAAGCCGGUCCACUUCCUGUCGAUAUGCAGACUCGUCACCAUCUUUGAUGAGGCCGAUGACAGUGGUGUCAUCUGCAAACUUCAGGAGUUCUACAGCCGGGUGCAUUGAGGUGCAGUCGUUCGUGUAGAGAGAGAAUAGCAGCGGACUGACUGACCGUCAGGAAGCUGUAAAUCCACUGGCAGAUGGCAGGCGAGACACUAAGUUGGAGAAGCUUGGAGGAAAGGAGUUCAGGAAUGGUGGUGUUGAAUGCAGAGCUGAGGUCCAUGAACAGGAUCCUCGCGCAGGUCCCCACGCCGUCGACGUGUUCUAGGAUGAAGUGCAGUCCCAUUUUGAAUGCAUCAUCCGCAGACCUGUUUGCUCGGUAGACAAACUGCAGGGGGUCCAGGAAGGGACCUGUGACGCUCUUGAGGUGGUCAAGCACGAGGCGUUCGAAGGACUUCACGACCACAGAUGUCAGGGUGACAGGCCUGUAGUCAUUCAGACCAGAGAUUGCAGGUUUCUUGGGGACUGGGAUGAUGGUGGACCGUUUGAAACAUGAUGGUACUUCGCACAGUUCCAGAGAUCUAUUGAAGAUCUGUGUGAAGACUGGAGCGAGCUGGUCCACGCAGACUUUGAGGCAGGAUGCUAACCAAUUACGCUUGUUUUACGCUUAGAAUUGCUAACCAAUUAAGCUUGUAAUUGGUUAGCAAUUGGAAUGCAUGCCAAACUGAUUUAGAGUUGUCUUUCUAACUUUACUGCAUAGUUUCUCUUUGCAAUGUUAAUUUCUUUAGUCAGCUUGUUUGUAGCGCAAUUAUACAGGGCCCUAUCCGCACUUCGAUAUACGUCCUCUUUAGCCUGGCGAAGUUGCUCAAGUUUGGCAAUGAACCACGGCUUGUUGUUAUUGAACGUGUGAAAUGACUUUGUUGGUACACACACCUCUUCACAGAAACUAAUAUAGGAUGUGACAGUGUCUGUAUAUUCAUCCAGGCUGCCAGCUGAAAUUCAAAGACAAAAAAGAUCGUAAAAGCUUUUUUCUUAUUUGUAUUUGAAAUACACAAUCUGCUGGACUUGGAGAAGCAAUGCCUCACUUCUUGCUAUGAUUACAAAAUUGGACAAUGGAAUGGAUUGUCACCAAAGAGGUACAAGUAACUUAACUUCACUAUGACAAUCACAAGUAGUUGAACAGUACCACUAUUGGUUUUGUAGCCGUAUUUUUCAUGUCACCUUGUUGUCUAUCACUGGCCAAUUUAAACAUGGUGGUCACAAUGUUUGUGUAGCUCAUUAUACAGCCACCCUAAGCUUCUAAUAAAAUUUAUUCAGUCUGGCACGGUAGAAUAUUGGCACUUAAGCACCAGUUUUCCUACUUUCAAAUCAAUGUGUGGUUCAAAGAAGAAAACUGAAGUACUGGUGCUGAUGGGCUGUCGUACCGAUCUUGCAACUAUAUGAUGGGAAACGUUUUAAAAGUGUAGAAAUUUCUACGUCAAUCAGACAAGGACAAACAAGCAAUAUUUGUUUUAAUAUGUAAAAGAUAAUAGCCUUUAUUCAGCAUUUCUAGACUAGGAUUGUUUGAUGAUAUACAUUAUUCUUCUGAACCACAACUAUUACACCUUAUUGACAUUGUAAGAAGGCUAGCAAGUUUAUUCUGUUGUAUGCUGUAUUCUGUAGUCUUGGGCAUUUGUAGUCUGUAGUCCACAUACGGCAUGUUCGACCAAAUAUAGAUUUUUAAGAAAACUUAAACGAUCAGAGCUGAUGAUGAUGAUUGCACGUCUCAGUCUGAGGGUAAACUGUUUGCACACUGAGUCACCACUCAGCCGGUUGGUUCCUGUUAAAGUGCUCUUGACUGUGACAAGGAUGUCAGGCAGAUGAGGGGACUUCUUCACUGGUGACUCACCUCCGUC